rnacentral:rRNA from 1 species
CCCCGCCUUGGACUCAGCAUAUCUAUCAAGCGGAGGUAAUAGAAACCCAACAGGGAUUACCUCAGUAACGGCGAGUGAAGCGGUAACAGCUCAAAUUUGAAAGCUAGCUCUUUUAGGGUUCGCAUUGUAAUUUGUAGAAGAUGCUUCGGGUGUGGCCCCGGUCUAAGUUCCUUGGAACAGGACGUCAUAGAGGGUGAGAAUCCCGUAUGUGACUGGGUGCUUUCGCUCAUGUGAAGCUCUUUCGACGAGUCGAGUUGUUUGGGAAUGCAGCUCAAAAUGGGUGGUAAAUUUCAUCUAAAGCUAAAUAUUGGCCAGAGACCGAUAGCGCACAAGUAGAGUGAUCGAAAGAUGAAAAGCACUUUGGAAAGAGAGUUAAACAGUACGUGAAAUUGUUGAAAGGGAAGCGCUUGCAACCAGACUUGCGCGCUGAUGAUCAUCCGGGCUUCUGCCCGGUGCACUCGUCUGCGCUCAGGCCAGCAUCGGUUUUGGUGGUGGGAUAAAGGCCUUGGGAAUGUAGCUUCUUUCGGGGAGUGUUAUAGCCCUCGGUGCAAUGCCGCCUACCGGGACCGAGGACCGCGCUUCGGCUAGGAUGCUGGCGUAAUGGUUGUAAGCGACCCGUCUUGAAACACGGACCAAGGAGUCUAACAUCUAUGCGAGUGUUUGGGUGUCAAACCCAUACGCGUAAUGAAAGUGAACGGAGGUGAGAACCCUUAAGGGUGCAUCAUCGACCGAUCCUGAUGUCUUCGGAUGGAUUUGAGUAAGAGCAUAGCUGUUGGGACCCGAAAGAUGGUGAACUAUGCGUGAAUAGGGUGAAGCCAGAGGAAACUCUGGUGGAGGCUCGCAGCGGUUCUGACGUGCAAAUCGAUCGUCAAAUUUGCGUAUAGAGCGAAAGACUAAUCGA